AGCCUCGAAGUAAAUGUCAGGCUGCAAACCUGAAAAAGACCAGUUGGUCCGGGGCUU
rnacentral:tRNA from 1 species